GAUGAACGCUGGCGGCGUGCCUAACACAUGCAAGUCGAGCGGAGAUUUCCGGAGUACUUGUACAAAGGAGAUCUUAGCGGCGGACGGGUGAGUAACACGUGAGCAAUCUGCCUUUCACAGGGGAAUAACACUGGGAAACCAGUGCUAAUACCGCAUGAUGUCCAUGCCUGGCAUCGGGGAUGGACCAAAGGAGUAAUCCGGUGAAAGAUGAGCUCGCGUCCGAUUAGGUAGUUGGUGAGGUAACGGCCCACCAAGCCUACGAUCGGUAGCCGGACUGAGAGGUUGAACGGCCACAUUGGGACUGAGACACGGCCCAGACUCCUACGGGAGGCAGCAGUGGGGAAUAUUGGGCAAUGGGGGAAACCCUGACCCAGCAACGCCGCGUGAAGGAUGAAGGCUUUCGGGUUGUAAACUUCUUUGAUCAGGGACGAAACAAUGACGGUACCUGAGGAACAAGCCACGGCUAACUACGUGCCAGCAGCCGCAGUAAGAC
rnacentral:rRNA from 1 species